rnacentral:rRNA from 1 species
GCUCGAGUUUUUNGCAAGANCGUGCCAGCAGCCGCGGUAAUACGUAGGUGGCAAGCGUUGNCCNGNUUUACUGGGCGUAAAGGGAGCGUAGGCGGACUUUUAANNNNGAUGUGAAAUACCCGGGCUCAACCUGGGUGCUGCAUUUCAAACUGGAAGUCUAGAGUGCAGGAGAGGAGAGUGGAAUUCCUANUGUAGCGGUGAAAUGCGUAGAGAUUAGGAAGAACACCAGUGGNGANNGNGACUCUNUGGACUGUAACUGACGCUGAGGCUCGAAAGCGUGGGGAGCAAACAGGAUUAGAUACCCUGGUAGUCCACGCCGUAACNAUNAAACAGGUGUAGGGGUUGUCACGACUCUGUGCC